CUUUGAGCACCUCAACGUGUAAUCCAGUGUCCAGCUCAUGGUUACAAUAUCGUGAGUUUAGGAACUCUGCGGACUGUAAGAUGAUCUGCCCUAAGGGAUGCCUGAGAUUUCUCCCUGAGCAAGAGUAACUGAGGUCCACAGUGCGGUCAGAUGCCUUUUCCCUAAGCCAACUCAGCACAUGCCUUUCUUGAGGUGAAGCCAUCAGAGACGGAACUUCACGUCUGGGUGAGAGGACCUUCACGUGUAGAGUGCAGCAUUUGGGACCUUUUUGCAAAAGAUCAAAACGGAAUGUUUUCUGACUUUCGAGAAAACAGUGGUGAUGUCUGAAGGGACAUGGAAUGAGUGACAG